CCCUUAGAUGUUCUGGGCCGCACGCGCGCUACACUGACGGAGCCAGCGAGCUUUUCCUUAACCGAGAGGUUUGGGUAAUCUUGUGAAACUCCGUCGUGCUGGGGAUAGAGCAUUGUAAUUAUUGCUCUUCAACGAGGAAUUCCUAGUAAGCGCAAGUCAUCAGCUUGCGUUGAUUACGUCCCUGCCCUUUGUACACACCGCCCGUCGCUAGUACCGAUUGAAUGGCUUAGUGAGGCUUCAGGAUUUGCUUAGAUCGAGGGGCAACUCUCUUUCAGAGCGGAGAAUCUAGUCAAACUUGGUCAUUUAGAGGAACUAAAAGUCGUAACA
rnacentral:rRNA from 1 species